UACCGGUAAAAUGGAGCAGCAUAGCAAGUGCUACUGUAGCGUACCUUUUUGCUCUAAGAAUAAAAGAAAACAUCCACAUUGAAAUUUUCACGACUUCCCCAAAAAUGUACAUUUACGCCUUAAAUGGAUUACUGCAAUUAGGUGCCAAAUUUACUAUUCUGCGUGGCAGUACGUAUGUGUGUAGCCUGCACUUCAACCCUGAGGAGUUGUAUGUGAAAGAGGGAGGGAGCAGAGUUAGACUUAGAAAGGGAUCGGUUCCAUCGCGAUUUGCCUGGAAUGAUUUUGGGAGUCGGAAGGAUCGUCAGGCACCAUACAAGAGGGCAAGUACUCGCCUCGGUUUUAACAUUGAAGCCGCAACGGGAGAGAGAGACGAGCAGGAACCGGGAGCUAUGCUAAAUGAGCCUAUGGCUAAUGUUAUGAAGCAUGAUUACUGGCAUCCUCCGUCUCCCGGUGGUGCAGUGGAUGCUGCAUCUGCAAGGAUACAGGAGCUGGAGCACAAGGUGAUGGAGCUGGAGAAUGAAAUAAAGCAGAUUCUGUUUCUGACAGACCAACCUAAGCUGAAUUAUUUCAAUAAUAAUAACAAUUCAAUAAGUCAUUUUCAGGUUCUAGAAUAUUUCAGUUCAGAUUCAUGUAUUUUUUCUAAUUUACUUUGUACAAAACUCUGCUUACAUGCUUAAACCUUUUCAUCACUUUUCUCAACCACUCAGGGCCAUAGCUAAUGAUCUGGGGCCAUUAACAUCGUAUGUAAAUAGGCAUGUAAAAAAUCUGGGUGUCAUUUUUGAUCCCGCUCUUAAGUUUGAGAAACAAGUUAAUGCUGUUGUGAGAGCUAGUUUCUUUCAACUUAGGAACAUUGCUCAAAUGAAAAGUAUCCUUUCUUUUAAUGAUUUGGAAACAGUAGUGCAUGCUUUUAUUUCCUCGCGUAUCGAUUUUUGCAAUUCACUGUACUUGGGAAUCAGUCAGUCAAGCUUGUCACGUCUACAGCUGGUUCAAAAUGCAGCCGCGAGGCUCCUGAAAAGAAAAGGGAGAGCAUUACCCCCAUACUUGCAUCAUUGCAUUGGUUACCAGUCAAAUAUAGGAUAGAAUUUAAAGUUCUAUUACUUGUUUUUAAGGCUUUACAUGGCUUGGCUCCGAGCUAUAUCGUUGACCUUCUCUGUGUUUACUCCACUCCAUGAGCUCUACGAUCCUCUAACCAACUGCUCUUAGCUAUUCCACGUUCUCAAAUGAGGUUUAAGGGUGACAGGGCCUUUUCUGUAGCUGCCCCAAGACUCUGGAAUAGUCUUCCACUUUUCAUAAAGGAGUCCCACACAAUAGAUGCCUUUAAGUCAAAUUUAAAAACUUAUUUGUUUUCUUUGGCAUUUGAGUCUUCUUAAUGAAUACGUUUUUAAUAUUUUUUAGGUUGUCAUAGCCAUCUUUGUUUUAGUGGUUUUAUUUGAUUUAUAUGUUGGUGCGUAUGUAUGUUAUUUUGUAUGUAUGUUAAUGAUUUGUUAAAUGUUAUAUGCAUAAUUGAGUGUUAUUUAUACUUGAUUUUAAUGUACAGCACUUUGGUUGACACACGUUGUCUUUUAAAUGUGCUAUAGAAAUAAAGGUGAUUUGACUCUCCCUCAAGCAAAUAUGGUUUCUCUAUGGUUAGUUGUUCAGGUGUUAUGGUUAUUGUCUAGAGGAUGUUUUUGUAUGUUGAUGUUGCUUCUGUUGAAACAACACUGGAUAUGGAAAAAUGUUUCAUGAAUUAAGAUGAUCAUUUUAAUGAAUUUAAGUAAUUCAAGUUUGCAUACUUUUAUAAAUAUUUACUAAUAUAAUAAAUCAAAUACAUUUUAACCUUC